GGGUCGUCAGCUCGUACCGUAAGGCAUUCUGUUAAGUCAGAUAACGAGCGAGACCUUCGCCGUCAAUGCAACUGUGGACUCCGUUCCAUGAGUACAUUGGCGGGACCGCUGGCGCGAAGUCAGAGGAAGGUGAAGGCAACGAUACC
rfam:Candidatus Colwellbacteria bacterium RIFCSPLOWO2_01_FTLL_48_10 rifcsplowo2_01_scaffold_5600, whole genome shotgun sequence.